ACGUUCGUGGUGUAGUGGUCAAUUCGCUCGACUCGUAUUCGAUAGGUCUGUGGUUCGAAUCCCAGCAAGGGUA
rnacentral:tRNA from 1 species